rnacentral:rRNA from 1 species
ACUCCUACGGGAGGCAGCAGUAGGGAAUCUUCCGCAAUGGACGCAAGUCUGACGGAGCAACGCCGCGUGAGUGAAGAAGGUCUUCGGAUCGUAAAGCUCUGUUGUUAGAGAAGAACAGCGCAUAGAGUAACUGUUAUGCGUGUGACGGUAUCUAACCAGAAAGCCACGGCUAACUACGUGCCAGCAGCCGCGGUAAUACGUAGGUGGCGAGCGUUGUCCGGAUUUAUUGGGCGUAAAGGGAGUGUAGGCGGUCUUUUAAGUCUGAUGUGAAAGCCCACGGCUCAACCGUGGAGGGUCAUUGGAAACUGGGAGACUUGAGUGCAGAAGAGGAGAGCGGAAUUCCAUGUGUAGCGGUGAAAAUGCGUAGAUAUAUGGAGGAACACCAGUGGCGAAGGCGGCUCUCUGGUCUGUAAACUGACGCUGAGGCUCG